rnacentral:rRNA from 1 species
UAAAACUCUGUUAUUAGGGAAGAACAAAUGUGUAAGUAACUGUGCACAUCUUGACGGUACCUAAUCAGAAAGCCACGGCUAACUACGUGCCAGCAGCCGCGGUAAUACGUAGGUGGCAAGCGUUAUCCGGAAUUAUUGGGCGUAAAGCGCGCGUAGGCGGUUUCUUAAGUCUGAUGUGAAAGCCCACGGCUCAACCGUGGAGGGUCAUUGGAAACUGGGAAACUUGAGUGCAGAAGAGGAAAGUGGAAUUCCAUGUGUAGCGGUGAAAUGCGCAGAGAUAUGGAGGAACACCAGUGGCGAAGGCGACUUUCUGGUCUGUAACUGACGCUGAUGUGCGAAAGCGUGGGGAUCAAACAGGAUUAGAUACCCUGGUAGUCCACGCCGUAAACGAUGAGUGCUAAGUGUUAGGGGGUUUCCGCCCCUUAGUGCUGCAGCUAACGCAUUAAGCACUCCGCCUGGGGAGUACGACCGCAAGGUUGAAACUCA